AGCCUGGCGGCCGGGAGGUUGAAAGUGCAAGAUUCUUCUGCGCCUGCGCGGCCCGGGUCACUUCGCUGGCGGCUCCAAGGCUCCCGGCUCGCCGCCAUCUUGUAUCGGGGCUUCAUUGUUCGCUCUGGGCCGGGUGGUUUAGUGUCAUUGCUGUCGAAGAAGGAGGCGGAGUAACCUCCGGUCAGCCAAGAAACCCCCGCUAUUCCGCAGCCAUAGCCGCUCAAAAGAUUUGUGAGGUAGUAAAGCGUAGGGAGCUGGACUCAGAGGCGCCGCCGCGACAGCAGCAGCCAUGGAGGACGAGAUGCCUAAGACUCUAUAUGUCGGUAACCUUUCCAGAGAUGUGACAGAAGCUCUAAUUCUCCAGCUCUUUAGCCAGAUUGGACCUUGUAAAAACUGCAAAAUGAUUAUGGAUACAGCUGGAAAUGAUCCCUAUUGUUUUGUGGAGUUUUAUGAGCAUCGCCAUGCAGCUGCAGCACUAGCUGCUAUGAAUGGGCGGAAGAUAAUGGGUAAGGAAGUCAAAGUGAAUUGGGCAACAACCCCCAGCAGUCAAAAGAAAGAUACAAGCAGUAGUACCGUUGUCAGCACACAGCGUUCACAAGUCUUAGUUCACUUGCACAUGGAUUCACAUAAACUGAAUGGUGUAAUGUCUGGGCAACCAAAACUGUUGGCUUUUGAGAAAACUGUCAAAUACUUUAACAUCAAACUGUUGCAAUGCAAGAUCAUUUCCAUGUCUUUGUUGGUGAUCUCAGUCCAGAAAUUACAACUGAAGAUAUAAAAGCUGCUUUUGCACCAUUUGGAAGAAUAUCGUAAGUAACAAGAUAAAUUUAAAAUACUUUUAAUUAGAAACAAUCUUACAUAGAAGUAAUUUGAAAAUCAGUUGUGAAUUUUGGACCCUAGUUUUAAUAUCUAAAUGUAGUGUUGAUUUGAACAGAUGUAUUGUUUAGAGACUAUUCAAGCAGUUAACAGCCAAAAGUUAUUUUCCCAUUGAUAAAUAAAUCUUUGUUCUUCAGUUAUCUUAAAACUUUUUCAGUUAGCAUUAGUGUUUAGGAGAUAGAUGUGCUAUUGUGCAUACAGUUUCUGAUAUGAGUGUCUUGCUAGCUUGGUCAUAAUCUUUAGUAAACUUGAGCUGUGACUAAGGAAUUUAGACCCUUUUGCAAUUCUAUGAUACCAUGCAUUUUCUAUUAAUAUAUUUUAACAAAAAGAAACCUUAACAAUUCAACCUAAAAAGCAUUUUACUAAAUGUGAAUUCCCAGAUAUCUACGUUUUUGUUGUUUUGCUGCUGUUAAUAAUAAUGCCUUUUAGUAUUUUGUGAAGCACUGUCUUGCUUGCACUUGUUAUUAAUUAUACAGGUUAGACCUUUUAUAAAUAGGUCACUCAGGGUAGCAUUCAUCAUAAAAGAACUUUAAUAUUUGGAAAAGCGUGCCAUAUAGUAGAAUAAGAAUAGUAAGUUGAUCAUUGUACUUUUUUAGAAGUAAUUGUUGAAUUUAGAAAACAAAUUUUUUAGGAUUUCUGGUUGCUUUAUUAUUGUUGUUCCAGCUAGAAAAGUAGGGACAAAAAGGAAACACUAGCUUUGGUUUGGUUUGAUGAGGAGGUGAGGAGAGUGGAAUGUAAAUGCUGGUAGUAUUGAUGUUGAAUUUUGGGAGUUUUUUCAUUUGAAGAGUUGUAGUUCAUUGGUAGGAGGAUGAAAAUGCUUAGUGACCAAGGAAUUACUAUAAGUAAGGGGCCAGCUGUAAAGGCAGUCACACAAUUAGGGUUUAUAAAUGGGCUCUUCUGUUAGGUGACGCUUUUCUUUGUGAGAACUGACUUUAGGAAAUUCAAAUUCUGAUUUCUUGAUUGUUCCUUUUAAUCUGUUUUAGGAUUUUGAUGAUGGUUAGCUUGCGUUCAAAUAGCUAAAGUGUAAGGUCUUAACCUUUGGCUUCUCAAAGGCUCUGUAAAUCUCUAUGCAAAAUUUUGUGUUUCUUUUCCUUUUGGUGUGGAGUAUAUUUUUAAGUUUUAUCCUAUUUUCAGAGUAGUCACAGGACCAUAAAAAGGAUUAAAGAACUCUGAUCUAGAUCUUGGCUGCUUCUUCCUUAGAGAAUCCUUUCAGAAAUAAGUAAGAAUUAAAUAUAUUUCAAGGCUAACAUUUCCUGAAAUUUAACUUUAAAAAGAAAAGCAUUUCUAACAUUUUAACAGAUUAAAUGCCAUUUUAUUAUGUGUUUUUAUUUGAUUGAAGUAGCUUUUUUGAAAGCAUGGUAAUUUUAGUUUGGGAUUAGAUAAAGGAUGUCUAAUGAUUGGUGAGUUUAAGUUAAAUGACAUUUAAAUUUCAGUAAUUUCAUUAUUUUUUAAUCAUGGAUCAACAAUUUCUUUUUGUUAAAUAUGUUGGUAUCAUAAUUACAAUCUGUAGGUUUUCCUAGAGUCAGCUGUGAUUAUUGAUGUAUAUAUUAUUUUUUUCUUGCUAAGGCCUGUCUUUAAGUUUUACAAUUUUCAGUCAAGGUAAUAUCUAAGCUUUAGGCUACCCAGAGUUGGAGUCAGUGUUUCUAAAUUUGAAAGAACCAUUUUUAGUUAGUAGCAUCAUUUCCUGAUUUUUUUUUUUAAGUUAAAGGAGUUAAGUUGAUAACUAUAUAUAUUGAAAGGUUCUUGUGAUAGAUAUUCUCUGUAGAGAUCCUACAGCAGUGCUUGAUUUUUAAAAGAUGUAGUAAAUAUUGGCCUAUUAAAAUAUUAGUAUACAAAACACAUUCCUUACUUUCCCUAAUUUACACAGUUUAAAUUUUUCCUGUUCCUUGAGUUUUAGGAUAGUCUUAAUAAAUUUUGCUUAUAGUAGUGAAUCAGCUACAAAUUAAAUGCAUGUGUACCAUAUAGAUAAUUUUAAGUAUUUUUACAUAUUGAGAAGUGACUUGCAUUAGUUUUCCCUUUUCACCAUCACUUCUUUGUCAUUUUGACCCUAAACACUUAAUAAAUCACUCCUAAAUUGAUCAAAAUAUGCUUAUGUAUACUUUAAUAUAAAAUUAUAAUGCAUGGCUUUCUGACUUGGGUUUUUGUUGUGAAAGUGCCUGUUUUGUUCAUGUGUCCUGAGAGAACAAGCAUUGUGACAUACCUGGCUAACUUAAAAGCAGAUUGCCUGUGAAGCACAAUUUGAGUCCAAUUUUUUGAGGUAUGGAGUUUUAGCUAUCAUGGCUGGGAUUUUUACUCAAUCUCAAAUAAUAGGGCUCUGGUUAUUUUGCAGAGUAUCUCUGAAGAAUGGACAGAAUUGCCCUGGCUAACUACAAGCUACGGUUCACAGUGGAUAAAUGUUGGCGUGCUUUUUUACUUUCUGACUUUUUAAAAUUUUGCUUUAUAUCUUGUAGUUUCCAAUCAGUUUUACAUGAUUGCUAUUUUAGAAUUCAGUAUAAAAUCUUUUCUUAUAUAGUUUAAAACUAAAGUGUGUAUCUAGUAUUUUUCUCCAAUGAUUUAACAUUUCUGAAAAUGUCAAGUUCUCAGAAUUUACCCAUAGUCCAAAAGGGGGGUGUGAAAUGAUCUUGAGAGAAUGAAAUACUUUAAUUAAUUUAGGGAUAAUACAACUUUUUCAUUCUUUUAGUUUCCAGUUUUCUAUUUUAAUUUUUUAAUGAUUAGGCAGCUUAUGGUGUCAAAUAGCAAAUUAUAAGUUGCAUGGUUAAAGAAAGCCAUUCAUUUAGUGUGCCUGUGAACCCUAUAAGAGGUUGAGUAAUUCAUGUGAAUAGCUGCUUUUACCAUGCUUAAUAUUAAAAAAUUUAAAACUUCUUGAAGUGGGAGGCAAUUUCUGUACAAUGUAUAUACAUAUAUAUAAGAAGUUAUUGAUUUGCAUGUUUAUAAAAUUAAGCCUCAUUUGCUAAUACAUGAUAAAUUUUAUAGAAUAAAAGGUGAAUUUGCAUUUAAGGUUCAUUUUAAUGGAGAUGAAACAUGAAAAUGAGUUGUGUAUGAAAUUCUCACUUGCUAUCCAAAGGGGAGUUUGCAAACCUAAACUUCUGAUUGUUUCUGAUUUCAGAGAUGCCCGAGUGGUAAAAGACAUGGCAACAGGAAAGUCUAAGGGAUAUGGCUUUGUCUCCUUUUUCAACAAAUGGGAUGCCGAAAACGCCAUUCAACAGAUGGGUGGCCAGUGGCUUGGUGGAAGACAAAUCAGAACUAACUGGGCAACUCGAAAGCCUCCAGCUCCAAAGAGUACAUAUGAGUGUAGGUGUAUUGGAGAAGAAAAGGAAAUGUGGAAUUUUGGAGGAAAAUACACUAGAUUUUAAAUGUUAGAGCUGUUCCCGGAGACUUAUUGCAGAAAUAGAUGAGAAGCAAAUCAAGACUACUGUUCAAAAAUCAAACACCAAACAGCUAUCAUAUGAUGAGGUUGUAAAUCAGUCUAGUCCAAGCAACUGUACCGUAUACUGUGGAGGUGUCACUUCUGGGCUAACAGAACAACUAAUGCGUCAGACUUUUUCACCAUUUGGACAAAUAAUGGAAAUUCGAGUCUUUCCAGAUAAAGGAUAUUCAUUUGUCCGGUUCAAUUCCCAUGAAAGUGCAGCACAUGCAAUUGUUUCUGUUAAUGGAACUACCAUUGAAGGCCAUGUUGUGAAAUGUUACUGGGGCAAAGAAACUCUUGAUAUGAUAAAUCCCGUGCAACAGCAGAAUCAAAUUGGAUAUCCACAAGCUUAUGGCCAGUGGGGCCAGUGGUAUGGAAAUGCACAGCAAAUUGGCCAGUAUAUGCCUAAUGGUUGGCAAGUACCUGCAUAUGGAAUGUAUGGCCAGGCGUGGAACCAGCAGGGAUUUAAUCAGACACAGUCUUCUGCACCGUGGAUGGGACCAAAUUACGGAGUACAGCCACCUCCAGGACAGAAUGGCAGCAUGAUGCCUAGUCAGCCUGCAGGGUAUCGAGUGGCAGGGUAUGAAACCCAGUGAAAGAGGACUCUAGAAGCUAAAGCCAGUGGCUUGAGGCUACAGGGAGCGUAGUAGAGCUGUUGUUUACUUAAAGAUUUAUCAAAUCAGUCAGUGCAAAUGUCAGAUACAAUGUAUUUAUUUAAAAGAUUCAUUUUUUAAUCAUGAAAUUACUUAUCAUCCGCAUUGUUUUAAAGAGAAACAAGAUGCUGGAUGUCUGCCAAUUUUUGCCUUCAUUACCUUUUUUGAUAAAGUUUCUCAGAUCCUUGUUUCAAAUACAAAUGCAGGGAUUGCUGCCACUUUUUUAAAAUUGAGGCAGAAAAUUGCACAAUGUUGAACUUUUUUCCACUGAAGUAGCGUGCAGUUCUAGUUUGCAUUCCUGAUAUGAUUUUAAACAUGUAAUAUAAAGAUGUUAAAAAAAAAAGAAAAACCAAAACUGUGCAGAGUCUAGAAGUUUGUUGUAAUCUUCAGCUUAUGCACAAUUGUGUUUUAGGUUUUUUUUUUUGAAAAAGGCUUUGUUUGAACUGUCCCAUCUCCACCGUUUUCCCUCUGGGGUUUUUAAAUAUAAAUUAUUAGUUUACAUCACUUUUGUAUCUACAUUUUUUCACAAAUUUGUCUUGCCUUAUUAAAGUUCUGUAACAUACUUAAAUGGAAAAAAAUGAUGUUCAUUUAGAUUGAAAACUUUUCUCAGAUGGAUUGAUAAUUGCAUUCAUCUUGUGUUUUAUAUGAGAAGGUGCCUCAAGAAUUCCCUGUUGAAUUUGUUUAAAAGAGUUUUUAUCUUCUGUGAUAAACUUCGCUAUGUACCAGGAAAUAUAAAAACAAAAAUUUGUUACUAAAGAAAAUCUCUGACAUGUGAUAAGUUCUUAUGAACCCCUGUUAAUUUCAUGUGUCAAAUUCUACAUUAACAUGUAUUAUUUCAUUAUGUAAAAUGUUUUAGCAAUUUAAUAUUUUGCACAGUUAGUAAACUUUGUAUGUCAUUUCCUCCUUAAAGGCAUCAUGCAGAGUCCACAGAUUUAUAAGGUUUCGUUUGCAUGUGAAUAUCAAAUACACACUUUGGUAGUCUUUGAAUACAAAGUCAUCUGCUCUUGUUUUUCAAGAAUUUUGAGACACAAAGUUGUAUGUAAAGGAAUAUAUUAAUUUGCCAUUUUCUAGAUAUACUUACUCCAAAAGAGUAAAUCAGCUUGAUUUUAAUAUGUACAAAUGAUAGCUGUGAAACUGUAGAAUAUCCUUAUGUCAGGCUUGGGGUUUGUUGUGAACUCCAAAAUUAGCCUGAAUGACCAGCCGGGCAAAGCAUUUUUUAAAUGUUCAGAGGCCAAAAGAUAAACAAACAAACAAACAAAAAACCCUUAAAAUCCUACCUCCUUAAACAGCCUUCAAAGAGGAGAAUCCUCAGUGCAAUCAUUACUUUGAUUCUUUUGGUACCUGUUUUCCUGGAGUUCCCAAUUUUAUUAUUUUGGGGUGACUCCGAGCAUUAAGAGGUUUAAUCUUUGAUGGCAUUGUCCUAGUUUUGAAAUUUCUAGUACAUUUCAGAGUCUCUAAGAAUUGUGAAAGCUUUUGUUUUAUUUUCAAUGAAAGUCACAAACUCUUCUUCUUUGAUUCACAAAGGUGAAGGGUCCCCAGUACACAUAUUUGGAUACUUGGUUGUUUUUAAGACCUUCAGAGAGCUCCUAGCAUUUUAUUUACGGACAGAAAAGGCAUGUGGAAUCUUAAGGCUUUCCUGGCCUGUAUCCUCCACGUAAUGACUCUAAGCUGGUCUCUAAGCCAAUAUUCUACAAACCAGCGCCCAGGAAAGACAGCUCAUAAGUGUAUAAUUCUUUGGAGCUCAAUUCUAUGCAGUCGUAGUAAUGUUUCAUUAAGUCACUGUGUAUUUUUAAGUGUUGAUACAUUAAAAGUUGCUUUAUGGAAGAUGAGUAAAUUUUUUAAACACUUGAAAUUUUUACUUCCCUGAUAACUUCUGCAGAUUAGGGCAUGUAACCAAAAGCAGCUUAAAUCAAAUACUCAAAAAAAUAAAAUAACAGGAUGCUCUUUUUAGAUUCUUCUAGUUUGUGUUCCUAUUUCAGGACCUUCAUUAUUUUUCUCUUAUUCAAAAAUAUUUUAUGUCCUAUACAUUUAUGGACUGCAGGGUAAAUUAUUUGGGCAUGAAUAAGCAAAAGUAUAGUUUUUCUUUCACUUUGACUAAUUCAAGUAAUAACACUUCUUUUUGGCCAAUAUUUUCUUGCUGCACAAUUCAAAAAAGUACAUUGUCUACUUUUUGAGAAGAAAGUAGUAUUACUCAAAAGUUUACUACUGACAGAUUUGUAUUGCAGGAACAUGGCUAGUUUUGCUUUCAGUGUUAAGACAAAUCAUUUAAAAAUUUUACAGUCUAAAAGUCAUACUGGUAUUAGUAUCAGGUAAGGAAAUUAAAGUUUUAAAAAUAGCUUCAUUCUCUUCAAUAUGCAUUCAGAUUUUACUUUAAAAUACAUCUGGUACUGUAAAGAACCUGAAGUGGUUCGCACUUAAUGGGUCAUUAAUCCAGUAUUCUUUGCCCUGACUGUUUGGAUAUUAAAGUUCCUUUAUGUUUUCUAUAACCUUUGGGAUCUUCUUGCAGUGAUUAUUGUGUGUGAGAGGUUUUAUUUUCUUUUUAGUCUAGCCAUGUUGUUGUAUUCACUCAGGUAUUUGUUAGUUUUCUUUUUAAUCUUAUUCCAGAAACCGUGGUUUGCAUUGGGUUACUGUUUAAUACCACAAAGAAUUGAUAUAAAUUUAAAUCAUGAAAUCAGGAUCUCAUUUUCCUUAUUGAUACUACUACCUCCCUGUUGAAAAUGAGAUUCACGUUCCGGUUUUAUUCUUCUGCUAUUUCAUUCCUGUGCUUGCUCAUCUUCCUUUUGCAUGUGUUAGAGUUGUAUUACUUUUGAGAAGACAGUUGAUAAGGACUAGAUUGCAUACACAGAGACUUGAGUUUACUAAGAGCUAUAGAAUGCUCUUGAGGUUACAGUUGAAUUAGAAAAUAAAAUGUGUUUACAGGAGAUAAUAAGCAAACCCUUUCAAUGAGUGAUUUUUGUUUGUUUUGUUUUUCUUAGGGCCACAGGUGCGGCAUAUGAAAGUUCCCAGGCUAAGGGUCGAUUUGGAGCUACAGCUGCUGGUCUGUGACCUACACCAUAGCUACCCUGGAUCACUGACCCACUGAGCGAGGCCAGGGAUCAAACCUGUAUCUUCAUGGAUACUAGGUGGGUUUGUUUCUGCUGAGCCACAAGAGGAACUCCAAGAACGAUGAUUUCUUUCUUUUUUUUUUUUUCUUCUUUUUUUUUUUUGUUUUUUCCCUAGCUAGGGGUCGAAUCAGAGCUACAGCUGCCGGCCUAUGCCACAGCCACACGGGAUCCAAGCCGUAUCUGUGACCUACACCUACACCUCGGCUCACAGCAACACUGUAUCCCUAAGCCACUUAGCAAAGCUAGGGAUCAAAUCUGUAUCCUCAUGGAUCCUAGUUGGGUUUGUUAACCAUUGAGCCACAGAGGGAACUCCAGGAGUUUUUUUUUUUUUUUUCUUUUCUUUUCUUUUUCCUUUUUUAGGGCCGAACUUGCAGCAUAUGGAGGUUCCCAGGGUAGAGGCUGAAUUGGAGCUACAGCUGCGGGCCUAUGCCACGGUUCACGACAGUGCCGGAUCCUUAACCCACUGAGCGAGGCCUGGGAUCAGACCUGCAACCUCAUGGCUCCUAGUCGGAUUCGUUUCCACUGCGCCACAACGGGAACUCCAGGAGUGAUGAUUUCUAAAAACAAAAUCUUUUUUCUUUUCUUUUUUUUUUUUUUGGUAGGGGUAUUAUAUUUUUUCCAGUCACUGCAUUUUAACAGUUUAGAAUUUGAAAAACAUAGCUCCAAACAACAAAGUUUAAUAUAAGAGCCUUGAUAAAAUGUAUGUGAAUGUGUCUCAGUUGAAUAAGACUUUACACUAUGGCCUCUAAUGUUAUUCUGAUAAUAAUUCACCUUUUAAAGGAAAAAGUAGGUGUCUGACUCAGGGUUACUAGGCUAGAAGGAGAUACUGUACAGAAAUAGGAACUAAGCACAAUUUCACAUACUAGAUAAAUGAGAUCCUUAGCUCCUUCUCUGAGUUCAGCUCUUGAAUACCAACAGCCACACUUGAAUAUACCAGGCAAGAAUGGGAAAAAAAACUAAACAACUUUUGAGAGAAAAGACAUGCUGGCAUUUGAAGAUCCCCACCAAAAGCCAACUGACCACCAAUCCCUUUACAGUGGAGUGUGCCAGUCAGCAAGUCCUGCCCGUGAACACAAAUCUUCCAAUAAGUUUUUAGUGCUUCACUUUUAAAUAAAGACAAAGAUUAGAAAUUGAGAAACAGAGUUCCUGUCGUGGUUCAGUGGUUGACGAACCUGACUAGCUUCCAUGAGGAUGGGGGUUCUAUCCCUGGCCUCACUUAGUGGGUUAAGGAUCCGGUGUUACCGUGAGCUGUGGUAUAGGUCACAGACGCGGCUUGGAUCCCAUGUGGCUGUGGCUGGCGUGAGCCAGUGGCUACAGCUCCAAUUCAACCCCUAGCCUGGAAAUCUCUAUAUGCCGAGGGUGCAGUCCUUAAAAAAGAAAGAAGAGGAGGUCCCGUCGUGGUGCAGUGGUUAACGAAUCCAACUAGGAACCAUGAGGUUGCAGGUUCGGUCCCUGCCCUUGCUCAGUGGGUUAAUGAUCCGGUGUUGCCGUGAGCUGUGGUGUAGGUUGCAGACGAGGCUCAGAUCUGGCGUGGCUGUGGCUGUGGUGUAGGCCGGCAGCAACAAUUCUGAUUAGACCCCUAGCCUGGGAACCUCCAUAUGCCGCGGGAGCGGCCCAAGAAAUAGCAAAAAGACAAAAAAAAAAAGAAGAAAUUGAGAAAAACUUUUAUUUUAAAAGGGGAGAGCAAAAAUAAUAAUAAUAAUAAUAAUAUCCUCAAGAUACUCUACUCAAGAAAUUAGAAUGCUGGUAAAAUGUCACAAAUUAGGAUGUGAAUAAAUUAGGUGAGAAUAUUCAAAGACAAGGCAAUGUUCUAGAACAGAAAUCGAAAGUGGAGAUAGGAGUUCUCUUGUGGCACAGCAGGUUAAGGAUCUAGGUCACAGACGAGGCUCGGAUCUGGCACUGCUGUGGCUCUAAUAUAGGCUAUCAGCCACAACUCCAAUUCCACCCUUAGUGUGAGAACUUGCAUAUGCCAAAGGUGUGGCCCUAAAACAAAAUUUAUCAGACAGAGAAGUUCUCUUGUGGCACAGCAGUAAAUAAUAUAAAAUGUGCCAGAUAAAAAAGUGCCAAGAAUAAUACUCAAAAGCAACAUUUGGAGUUCCCUUCAUGGCUCAGUGGUUAACAAAUCCAACUGGGAACCUUGAGGUUGCAGGUUUGCUCUCUAGCCUUGCUCAGUGGAUUAAGGAUCCGGUGAUGCCAUGAGCUGUGGUGUAGGUUGCAGACGAGGCUCAGAUCUGGCGUGGCUGUGGCUGUGGUGUAGGCCGGCAGCAACAAUUCUGAUUAGACCCCUAGCCUGGGAACCUCCAUAUACCACAGGAUCGGCCCUGGAAAAAGACAAAAAAAAAAAAAAAAGCAACAUUAGAACCUAGGGAUCAAUGGUAUUGUCUUCAAAAGUUUAAAUUAUGUCUUGGGUGACAAUAGAAUAAAGUCAUUUUUAGACAUGCAAGUUCUCAAAAGGUUUUCUUCCUGUUCACUGGCUCCAGCUUCCAGCUGCUAGAUGAAUGCCAUCAAAACAAAGAUAAGAUGUAGCAUCUAGAAAUGGGAUCAAAUACAGCAGUGAGAUAAGGGAAGCCCCAAGAUUACAGCUGUGACGUGACCUGGUAGCCAGUCCAGACUGAUCGUCAGAGGGCUAGACUUAAGGUUCUCUGACAGGUUGGGCUGUGUAGAUAAUUGUGUUGUGGGAUGUUUUACAGACCUAUGGAGAAGGUGAGAAGACUUAAUGCUGGGAGAAAUUCAGGCAAAUGGGAAGAGGCAAUUGUCAGGAAAAAAGUUGUAUAAGAAAGGAAAUGUUUCCUGAGCCAAGUACAUGCACCAAGAUAAUAUUUCAUCUUUUCCUGGAUUACAUUCAUAAAUAUUUGUACUAUUCCACUGCUUUGGUUUUCUGUGGCAACUUAAUUUUAUGUUGGGUUUCUUCUGCCUGUCAUCUGUUUCUAUCAUUUGUUCUUAGUUCUUUUAAUCUUUUUGUUUGCUUUUCUCAUUUCUAAUCUGCGUUCCUUAAUGUGCUUCCUGUGAUGUCCAAACUUGCUUAUGUUCCUUUUAAUGUAGUCUUCAUUUCUGAAAUGUUAAGGGAGAGGGUGGUUUCUGUUUCCUAAAUUCUACCAAUUUCUGUUUCACUUCAGGGCCGUUGCUUCCCUGAAUUCUUGUAUUUCUUAGCCGCAUUUACUUCAUUAGAUUUUUAAAAUCCAUGUUGGAAAUGUCGGUAUAUUAUUUUCAACUGCUUUGUGGGAACAUUUUUCUUCUGAGUUUUCUCCAGGGAAACUCUAGGUAAGUUUUGCUACUGUAUUUUUAAUUACAGUAUCUUUGUACAAAUGCUGCAUAUAUGCCUUUCUAUUUAUUCAUAUUUGAAACAGUUUUUCCUAGACCACUUACCAGCAGGAAGAUGAAAGGGAAAGACCCUGUGCAGUUUUCUCCCCUCCCACCUCUGUGGCUCCAGUGAAUUGUCUCCUUAAAAGUUGCAGCCAUGGGUCCGCUCUGAGAUGUGACCUUGUCCAAAAGUUCUGUACCAGCUCUGAGCUCCCUUGUUUGGUUCCUUCAUCUGCUACAUUAGGGAACCUAACACCUGCUUUCAUGGAUAUCCCCUAACUUGCUUUCUGAAAGACAUGGACUCUGCACCCCCUAGGUACCUGGCACACCUUCCCUCCCUGCCUUUCCCAGCACUCAAGCUUGGUUAGACAUCCCCACAGCAGUUUCCACUCAGGGUUUGGCUCUCUUCUCAGAGUGAAUAUUUGUGGAUGAUUUCUGAGAUCUGCUGCCAUCAACUCCCUUCCUCACUCUGUUCUUCCCCCACAGCACUCAGUUGGCCUCCCAUCCAGGACCAUACUUCCACUCACUGUGGGACAUGUGCAUUUUCUCUGCCUCCCUACUUUCACCUAAGAUACUGUUUGUAGGAGUCAGUGUUCAUGUUUUUCUUUUUUUUUUUUGCUCCCUGUGAUUUCCAGAAGAAGUAGAAAGAUCCAGAACCAGGCUGUUAACGUUUCUACCAGAAUCAGAAGCCUAAAGGAAUCUUUUACACAUGUAUUUGAUCAUGACACUCCCCUGCAUGAAAGUCUUCUCUUCAAAUUGUAUUUAGAAUGUAAUCUAAAUCUUUAAUAUGUAAAAUCUUGAAUAUGGCCUGCAGUGAGUUCUAAAGUGCAGUCUGUACUUACCAACUGUACAGCAGACUGUCCUCCACUCUCCCAUAAGCCCUUCCCCUCCACACUCAUCUUUCAGUUUCUUAAGUAAGUAAUCAUUUUAUAUGAGUCAGUGUCCAGUCAGGAGACAGAGACCAAGGCUAAAAUUUGAAAAGGGAAAUUUUAAUGUAAAUAAUGGUUAAAGAGUAAAAGGUUAACUAAAAGAGAACCAGAAGUUGCAGGUGCAAAAACAAUUGUUAUGGAUAGAGUGGACAAUGCGGGAUCUAAGUGUUUAGGAGAGCACUGAUUUUCUGGCCUCUUCAAAGUGGGCUUAAUUACCAAGGAAUGUGCAGCCUGGUGAAGAAAUGUGCCAGAGGGUAUGGGCCAGAGCCGGUCCUUAGAAGCUGCCUGCCAUUGUCAAAGGUUGGGAAACUGGAGAUGGUAAUUUAGAAAUGGUCCACCAGGUGGGGGAGCUAGGGUCACCAGAUUUAGCAAGACCACAAUCCCAAGUAUUGCAUGAAACAUACUAAAAAUUAUUUGUUGUAAAACUGAAAUCCAAAUUUAACUGGGUGUCUUGUAUUUUAUCUGGCAGUCCAAAGCUGCCGUGGAAGCAGCUGCAGGUGUGAAAAGUGUGGCCUGAGAGUGCAGUUGGGGCAGGUCCUGGGAACCACUGAGGGGAGCACCACUGGGUCUUCUGUGCACUGGUCCACUGGCUCCGGCAGUGAAUAAAAAGAAAAAGAACCAGGACCCGUAAGGGGUGAGGCUUCCUGUCACUAUCACCUUGCAUUGUUCCCCCAUUGCCACUAUUGAUGAAGCCUGAGACUUAGCCAACUGGCAGAGGAGAAAUGUUUCACAAAGCAAGGCAAAGAAGGGUGGCAUGGGGACCCAGACUCCAUUUCAGAGCCCUGCCGCCUGAAUGCCUUUUGUCUGCUCUUUGUCUUCAACUCUCCUCUUAAAUGUUUCUUCGUCUAAAAAGCCUUCCUUCUAUUACCUACAAUCUAGAUCAGUAGCCUCUCAAAUCAUCCUAUACUUUUGCUUUAUAGCAUUUGUCACAAUUUUAAAGUUAUGUAUUUCUGUGAUUAUAUCUUGAAAACUCAUGUUCCCCACUAAACUAAUAUAUAGUGACUGUUUUCUUCAAUGCUGUAUGUACCCAGUAGGUAGUAAAUAGUAGGUGCUCAAUAUAUCUGUUGAAUUAAUUUAAUUAUCUCAAUCCUGUCUUAUCCAAAUGGCUUUCUACCAUUUGCUGAUAGUACUACCAGCUGGAGUACCAAGUGUGAAGUGAUAAAAGCUAAAAUUAGAGGACCAAACCAGGGCUAAUUCGUUCUGUCAUGUCAAAUAAUUUGAAAUUUUUUUUAAAUCUUAAAGGUCCUAGGGAGCCAUUGAUCUAAUACAUUUUCAGUCAAGAUGUCUUCCAGGUUCCUGGCAUGAGCCAUGAAUGGAUGGUGGGGCUAAUUACUGGAGUGGGAAAAGGAAGAAGGGGAGUUCGUAAAAAUAACAUGGAAGCUGGUUAGAGGGCAGAAGAUGAAAGCUAAUGAUUUCUGCCUUUGAAAAUGUGGAGCUUGGACAUGUGUGACAUUCAGGUAGAAAUAUCCAGUGGGUAAUGAUAGGGAAUCUGGAAGGGAGAUCCAGGCUGGAAGAGAGACGAGAGUCACCAGCCUUUAGGUGGUAAUUCAGCCCAUGGAGUGGCAGUCACCCAGAGAGAUGCCAGAGUGAGAAAAGGACUGAGGACAGAACUCGUAGGUCCAUCAAGCUUUAGGAGGGUAGAGACACAGAAGUUGGCAAAGGAGAAUGAGAAGGAGCUCCCUGACAGGCAGGAGAAAUACCGAAAGUCCAUGAUGUAGAAAUCAAGGAAGAAAAAAUUCAAGGAAAUAGAAGUAGUCAAGAGCAGAGAGAAGUUGGUGAAAAAAAAGGUUGUGGAAAACAAGUCCACUGGAUUUAGCAAUAAGGAAGUAAUUGGUAACAUUGAGCAUUUUCAGUGAAGUAGUGGGAGCAAAAUGUGAACUGCGGUGGGUUAAGGACUGGGAAGUGAGAUAGUUAUCAGGAGCAGACUGCCUUCCCAGUUCAUUGGGCUGUAGAGAGAAAGAAGAGAAGAAAGAGGAGAUGGGCUUAAGAAAGCAAUAUUUUUUUAAAUGUCAAUAUAAUAAACUAUGAAUAAAUCAUAAAAGUAAAUGACUGCUAAAAAAAAUAACCCCACUAUUCACCCAUUUGGAAAUACACAACAGAAAACAUUCAUCUCUGUUUUGUAUUUAAAAAAAAAAAAAAAAAAAAACUGGAAGGGAGUUCCCUGGUGGCACAGCAGGUUAAGGUCCAGAGCUGUCACUGCUCUGGUCUCGGAUUGUUGCUGUGGCGUGGGUUCAGCCCCUGGCCUGGGAAUUUCCACAUGCUGCAGGCUUGGCCCCCAAAAAAAUAAAUAAAUAAAAAAUAAAAAUGGAACCAAGGUUAAAGAAUACAUUUGUGUGCGUGUGUAUAUUGUUUCUCUAGGAUCUUUGGGAUUGAAUGAUGGAUUAAAGAAUGUAAAUUGUAAAACUUGUAUUAUAUAUUGUCAAAUUGCCCUCUUAAAAAGCUGUACCAUUUUAUACUCCAACCAAUAAUGUCCAAAAGCGCUCAUUUGCCUCUACUUUUACCAAUGCUGAUUGUUAUUAAGCUUUUAUUUUUGCCAAUCUGAUGCAUGUAUCAUGAUCUCCUUCGUUGUAUUUCCCUGAUUGUAAGUAAACUUAGUUAUCUUUUUCCAUGA